rnacentral:hammerhead_ribozyme from 1 species
AUCCAGCUGAUGAGUUGUAAAUAGGACGAAGUAACGCACAUCCUGGAU